rnacentral:lncRNA from 1 species
AUCUAUUGCUCACUUCCUCUAUUCUCUGUUCCCUGGGGCGGCUCUUCCAAAGGAAGCAAAGUUGCUUCAGGCCACUUUUGUUGUUCUCAGACAAAUUAGCCUAUGUAGGCAUCCAUUUCCUCAUUUGUGAAAUAAGAAAAACCCACUUCUUUGGAUUGUUGUGGGGGAUAUAUUUUAUACAGAAGUACAUUGUGUGUGUGUGCAAGCCUAGGACAAAACAUUUCUGAAUAAAUUCAGAUACCUUCCCCACAUCUCACCCUAUUAAAAGCAGAACGAACUGGAGGAAGGGCAUAUUUCUUCCCUGUUCAGAACUUUUACUGGCACUCCACGCCCUAUGAGAUUAAGAACAAACCCUGCCUUGUAUUCAAAACCUUUACCAUAAAACUCCACUUCUCACUCCUCAUGGAACAUGAUCUGCAUUUGCUCACCUGUAUACUCUUCUCCUGUCCCUUUCUCUGCUUGUACUGGUCUCUCUCAAUUUUGCCAAAAUGUUAUCCAUCACUUGAGUCUCAAAAAGUGUGGAAAUUCUACACAAAUCAAAUUUCGGAGACUUAGACCCUUCGCAGUCCACAAGCUUAUCAAUUCUCAGAGCUUCAAGUUCAGGUAGAGCUUGGGUCCUGAUCUCUCUGAUAACUUCGACUUGUCUAUACCCUGGGGUUAGUCAUUCAUAAUAAUGCAUCAGUAGUAGUUCACCACCUGUCACAAAUGUACCACACCAAUGUAAGAAGAUAAUAACCAGGCAGGUAUAUUUCUCACCAUCCACUCUUAAACUUGGUACUCUGCCUACCUCCAUUCUUUUUAUGGAUCCUAUUGAAUAAUUUGUUAUUUCUUUUACAUUUGAAAAGAUACAAUACAGAAAAAAUUCAUUCUUCAGCAAACACUUGUUGAAUACCAUUUACUAAUUACAUAAGUUUUACUAUAAUAAUACUAAAGUACUGGAACAUAGUGCUUUAAUACAUUUCUGAUGAGAUCUGAAAGUUAGAUUCAUUUGUAAUAGAUGGUAUUUUGGCUCAAAAUAUCCAUUGCCUCUUCCAUAGGGCCCCAGCCUAUGGGAGGAAGACAUACCUGUGCUCAGAGCAGGCUUGGUCAUGCGACUUGCUUUGAUCAUUUGAUCAUUGGAAUAGGACUGGAGCAGACCCACUUUUUUUUUUUUCCUUUUUAGGGCUGCACCCACAGCAUACGGAGGUUCUCAGGCUAGUGGUCAAAUUGGAGCUGCAGGCUGCCCGCCUACGCCACAGCCAUAGCAACGCGGGAUCUGAGCUGCUUCUGCGACCUACACCGCAGUUCACAGCAACAUCAGAUCCUUAACCCACUGAGCGAGGCUAGGGAUCGAACCCACACCCUCAUGGUUCCUAGUCAGAUUCGUUUCCGCUGUGCCACGAUGGGAAUGCCUGUCCUAUUUCUGAAAGAGCUUUAAGAGUCAUUCUCUGGUCGGUCACCACCCCCUCUUUUUCAUUCCGACAUGAAACUGCCAUGUUUUAGAUAGGGCUGCAUUUUCAUCCUUGGUUCUGACAUGACAAAGACAUGAAACUGAGUCAAAUCUGACCCCAGUAUAGACAUGAGAAAUAAACCUUUGUUGUGAGCCA